rnacentral:rRNA from 1 species
AGAGAGCUUGCUCUCGGGUGACGAGCGGCGGACGGGUGAGUAAUGUCUGGGAAACUGCCUGAUGGAGGGGGAUAACUACUGGAAACGGUAGCUAAUACCGCAUAACGUCGCAAGACCAAAGUGGGGGACCUUCGGGCCUCAUGCCAUCAGAUGUGCCCAGAUGGGAUUAGCUAGUAGGUGGGGUAAUGGCUCACCUAGGCGACGAUCCCUAGCUGGUCUGAGAGGAUGACCAGCCACACUGGAACUGAGACACGGUCCAGACUCCUACGGGAGGCAGCAGUGGGGAAUAUUGCACAAUGGGCGCAAGCCUGAUGCAGCCAUGCCGCGUGUAUGAAGAAGGCCUUCGGGUUGUAAAGUACUUUCAGCGAGGAGGAAGGCAUUAAGGUUAAUAACCUUGGUGAUUGACGUUACUCGCAGAAGAAGCACCGGCUAACUCCGUGCCAGCAGCCGCGGUAAUACGGAGGGUGCAAGCGUUAAUCGGAAUUACUGGGCGUAAAGCGCACGCAGGCGGUCUGUCAAGUCGGAUGUGAAAUCCCCGGGCUCAACCUGGGAACUGCAUUUCGAAACUGGCAGGCUAGAGUCUUGUAGAGGGGGGUAGAAUUCCAGGUGUAGCGGUGAAAUGCU